GCGCCGUGAACCGCUGUGAACCACCACUUGACAACUUCAGCUUCCCAAGCUGAUAGCGCGGGUUCGAUUCCCGUCAUCCGCU
rnacentral:tRNA from 1 species